AGUGGGGAAUAUUGGACAAUGGGGGAAACCCUGAUCCAGCGACGCCGCGUGAACGAAGAAGUCCUUCGGGAUGUAAAGUUCUUUUAAAUGGGAAGAAGACAGUGACGGUACCAAUUGAAUAAGCCCCGGCUAACUACGUGCCAGCAGCCGCGGUAAGACGUAGGGGGCAAGCGUUACCCGGAAUCACUGGGCGUAAAGGGAGCGUAGGCGGUUACGCAGGUCAUACGUUAAAGGAUCCGGCUCAACCGGAGAGAUGCAUAUGAAACCGUAUAACUUGAGGAUAUCAGAGGAAAAGGGAAUUACCAUUGUAGGGGUGAAAUCCGUAGAGAGUGGUAAGAAUGCCGGUGGCGAAGGCGCUUUUCCGGGGUAUACCUGACGCUGAGGCUCGAAAGCCAGGGGAGCGAACCGGAUUAGAUACCCGGGUAGUCCUGGCCGUAAACGAUGUUCACUAGGUGUAGGAUGUCGACAGGCAAACUGUGCUGAAGCUAACGCGAUAAGUGAACCGCCUGGGGAGUACGUCCGCAAGGAUG
rnacentral:rRNA from 1 species